rnacentral:tRNA from 1 species
GGGGAUUUGGCUCAGUGGUAGAGCGCUUGCCUAGGAAGCGCAAGGUCCUGGGUUCGAUCCCCACCCCG